rnacentral:rRNA from 1 species
GACGAACCGUGCGACCGUUGUUCGGAUUCACUGGGCUUAAAGGGCGCGUAGGCGGCUUGCCAAGUCAGGGGUGAAAUCUUUCGGCUCAACCGGAAAACGGCCCCUGAUACUGGCGGGCUUGAGGGAGGUAGGGGCGGAUGGAACUUCCGGUGGAGCGGUGAAAUGCGUAGAUAUCGGAAGGAACGCCGGUGGCGAAAGCGAUCCGCUGGACCUCCUCUGACGCUGAGGCGCGAAAGCCAAGGGAGCAAACGGG